CUAUGAAUCCCUGCAGCUCCAGUGUUGUCUUUUUUGUGUAAGAAAGGGAGAUUAUAACUACACAAGGUGAUGACAUCAUAACCCCGGGUCCCCACUGCGAGAUGAACACUGAAAUGAGCACUACAGACCCUAGGAGAGGAGGGUUCAAGUAGAGUCAGGGAAGGUCCUAGGGGAGGUGGUCUCUGAACUCAAGGGCAGGUUGCUAAAGAGGAGGAGUUGGGAGAGCAUUGAUGGCCAGGCAGAGAAAUCAAUGUGCAGAGGUCAGAUGAGAGAGUGACAAGGAGGAAACUAGUCAGGCUGGAGCAGAGAGGACUGCAGGAGCACCAUGUCCAUACUCACCCAGAAAUUAGUCUUUGACUGAGAAAUGGAGCACAAAGGAAUCAACAGAACCAGUGGGGGUUAAGUUUGGGUUGGGGGCACCAGGAGACACAAUACUCUGAGAAAGAAGAGAUCAGCACGUGGCCUGCUGUGAACAUAGAAAGCUUCACAUGGGGAUGGAACUUGAGCCUUGAAAGAGGGCAUGGCUGAGAACUGCUAUGAGUGCCUUUGGAAGGCCCAGAGGAACCCAAAGUGGAUGUCACGGGCAAAAGAUUACUGCCGAGGACUGCAUUUCAAGGAAUGGGCAAGGGGAAGACAGAAUCAGGCUAACUCAGCAAUGCCAGUGUCUCGAGCAUAAAAAAGCAUAUAACUGGACUAAAGGCAAUGAGGAACUUAAGAGGUGUCAACUACAUCAAACUGCACAGAGAGAUGGAAAUGAACAAUAUAAGAUAAAUCAAAGGAAGUCCUUCUUCAUGUAGAAGAGGAAAAACUCAUAGACCUCAUUACGAAAGAAAACUUUAAUAAAUGUACUCAUUACAAUUUGAA